GUGUUGUAUUGUGGACUGACAUAAACGAAGAUCUUCGGUAAUGACGACGCUGAGGCCAACGUUUGCUUCUUGAUUGGGUCUAGCAGAUAUGACGUGUCCUUCCCUGAUUUGUCACGCCCCUAUUACGUGACCCUUUCCCGGAAGAAAACAAGAUGGAGAUGCACCAGGAUGAAAAGCCUGGAGCUGCUGGAGGUUCUGCUGAUGAUGGCCCGAGAACUCAACACCGUCCAGAGCUUGCUUGAUCAUCCCCAUCACCAGGUCUUUCUCUGAGGGUACAUCACAUCACAUAAUACCAGGAAAAGAGACACGGACCACAAUGUCCUGGGUGAAAUGUUCUCUAUUUGUUGAACCAUCCACCACCCCAACCUACCUCCUUCAUUUCACGCUUACGGGCUAUUACAGGGGGCCACUAGAGGGCGCCGUCAUGAUAAAUGUAAAUAUAGGUCAUAAUUGCUUGAACAAACGACUUAUGGGAACAUUUUUCGGGGGAAGGACAGUCUCUUAGGAGUAAAAUAUGACAUAGCUGUGCUUCAUUUCAAUCCCAAACUACCCUACUGGAAGAGGUCAACAUCAGUGGAGGAGUUUUUCACCAUUAGUUC